UACGUAGGGGGCUAGCGUUGUCCGGAAUCAUUGGGCGUAAAGAGCGUGUAGGCGGUCCGGUAAGUCCGCUGUGAAAGUCGGGGGCUCAACCCUCGAAUGCCGGUGGAUACUGUCGGGCUAGAGUGCGGAAGAGGCGAGUGGAAUUCCUGGUGUAGCGGUGAAAUGCGCAGAUAUCAGGAGGAACACCGGUGGCGAAGGCGGCUUCCUGGACCGACACUGACGCUGAGGCGCGAAAGCUAGGGGAGCAAACGGG
rnacentral:rRNA from 1 species